GAUGAACGCUGGCGGCGUGCUUAACACAUGCAAGUCGAACGAAGCACUUAUCAUGAAGUUUUCGGAUGGAUUGAUAAAUGACUGAGUGGCGGACGGGUGAGUAACGCGUGGGUAACCUGCCUUAUACAGGGGGAUAACAGUUGGAAACGACUGCUAAUACCGCAUAAGCGCACAGUGCUGCAUGGUACCGUGCGAAAAGAUUUAUCGGUAUAAGAUGGACCCGCGUCUGAUUAGCUGGUUGGUGGGGUAACGGCUUACCAAGGCGACGAUCAGUAGCCGGCUUGAGAGAGUGAACGGCCACAUUGGGACUGAGACACGGCCCAAACUCCUACGGGAGGCAGCAGUGGGGAAUAUUGCACAAUGGGGGAAGCCCUGAUGCAGCGACGCCGCGUGAGUGAAGAAGUAUUUCGGUAUGUAAAGCUCUAGCAGCAGGGACGAAAGAAGUUGAAAGACACUUCCUGACGGUACCUGACUAAGAAGCCCCGGCUAACUACGUGCCAGCAGCCGCCGUAA
rnacentral:rRNA from 1 species